GAUGAACGCUGGCGGCGUGCCUAAUACAUGCAAGUCGAGCGAACAGAUGAGGAGCUUGCUCCUCUGACGUUAGCGGCGGACGGGUGAGUAACACGUGGAUAACCUACCUAUAAGACUGGGAUAACUUCGGGAAACCGGGGCUAAUACCGGAUAAUAUAUUGAACCGCAUGGUUCAAUAGUGAAAGACGGUUUUGCUGUCACUUAUAGAUGGAUCCGCGCCGCAUUAGCUAGUUGGUAAGGUAACGGCUUACCAAGGCGACGAUGCGUAGCCGACCUGGGAGGGUGAUCGGCCACACGGGAACUGAGACACGGUCCAGACUCCUACGGGAGGCAGCAGUAGGGAAUCGUACGCAAUGGGCGAAAGCCUGACGGAGCAACGCCGCGUGAGUGAUGAAGGUCUUCGGAUCGUAAAACUCUGUUAUUAGGGAAGAACAAAUGUGUAAGUAACUAUGCACGUCUUGACGGUACCUAAUCAGAAAGCCACGGCUAACUACGUG
rnacentral:rRNA from 1 species